AGACCGAGUCUAUCAGCCCUGGGUACCCACUGUUCCGCUCCGCUCUCCAAUCACCAGAAGAGACGGAUCGGCGGAUCCCAUUCGAUCUCCGCCCUCACCCUGCACGCGCCGCCGCGCCCUCCCGCUCCCUCCACGCGUGCCCGGCGGCGCCCUACGAGCGUGGGCCGCCACCCUGUACCCGGCCACCGCCCACACCUCGAAAUGAGCCGGUGUUCCCAGAUCUCGGCGACAUCGAGGAGCACCGCUGACUCCGCACCCACGCCGACGCCAUUCGACACAUCGGGAGGGACCCGUCUGCGCCAAGCAUGCUGCGCGUGCUGGCCGUGAAGCUGGGCAACCGCCUGAAGAAGGUGGCCGCGAAGAUGAUCAGCGGCAAAUGCUCCGAGGUACGCUUCAAGAAGCGAAGCGCGAGCAUCAGCACCCACGUCAGGCAAGUGCACAGGAAGCACUACAUCCCUCUAAUGUAGCGGUAGGGGUUUGGUUCAUCUGUUGAUAUCACUGCUUAGCAAGUUUAGCUGUCCUGUGUGCAACUUGUUUGUUCGCAAAAGAAUGCAGACUUAUGGAUGCUCGGUCCAUUGCCGUGAUUGCUAUGCUAUCUGAAUCCUCCUUGCCAUGUUCUCUAAGUUUGGCGUUGUUUACUAUACAAACCAGGUGAAAACGUAUAAACGUUUCAGUUAGUUUUCUGAUGCACUCUAUUUCCGUUUUGUUAAUUCAGUUGUCCUCUGUUUCAAUCAGUUCUCUGAUGUGCCCCGCGGAGCUAUUGGUUCCACAUCCCGAACCAGCGGCCCAGCUGAUGAGGACCUUCAUGCCUCCUGCCGCUACUGGUGCUGCGGCGCGCACCCACGGCAUUCCUAAUUUCCAG
rnacentral:lncRNA from 1 species